rnacentral:rRNA from 1 species
AGAGUUUGAUCAUGGCUCAGAGUGAACGCUGGCGGCAGGCCUAAUACAUGCAAGUCGAACGGCAGCACAGCAGAGCUUGCUCUGUGGGUGGCGAGUGGCGGACGGGUGAGGAAUACAUGGGAAUCUGCCCAGGUCGUGGGGGAUAACGUAGGGAAACUUACGCUAAUACCGCAUGCGCCCUUCGGGGGAAAGCCGGGGACCUUCGGGCCUGGCGCGAUUGGAUGAGCCCAUGUCGGAUUAGCUAGUUGGCGGGGUAAUGGCCCACCAAAGGCGACGAUCCGUAGCUGGUCUGAGAGGAUGAUCAGCCACACUGGAACUGAGACACGGUCCAGACUCCUACGGGAGGCAGCAGUAGGGAAUAUUGGACAAUGGGCGUAAGCCUGAUCCAGCCAUGCCGCGUGAGUGAAGAAGGCCCUCGGGUUGUAAAGCUCUUUUGUCCGGAAAGAAAAGCGCCGGGUUAAUACCCUGGUGUCCUGACGGUACCGGAAGAAUAAGCACCGGCUAACUUCGUG